CGGAGAGCCCAACUGUUUAAUAAAAACGUAGUGUCGCGCUGUGGUAGUAUAGCCAGUGAACGCGACAUGAAUCCUGCUCAGUGCUGUGUCUGUUAAUAUGGUCCAAGCCAACGAAGCACCGGUAAAUAGCUGGGGUAACUAUGACUCUUAUCAAAGUAGCGAAAUACCUCGUCACUUAAUUAGUGACCUGCAUGAACGGAGCUAUGAGGUUCUCACUGUCCCAAACUGUCUCUCAGCGAACCAACUGUAGUGGGAACGGUCACUAGAUAUCCAGCGGGGAAAGAAGACCCUGUAGAGCUUCACUUUGGUCUAGUCUUGUAUAGUUCCUGCGGGGGUGUAGACUAGGUGGGAGAGCAAUCGAUUCUGAAAAACCACUACCCUGUUUGGAAUUAUGCUUACCUAUCACAAGGAAUAGGACUAGAUAGAAAGUUUGGCUGGGGCGGCACACCUUCGAAAGAGCAGCGAAGGUGUCCUAAGUUGAGCUCAGUGAGGACAGAAAUCUCACGUUGAGGAUAAGGCCAAAAGCUCAAUUUACUGUGCCUUUUUGUACUAGGAUCAGUUACGAAAGUAAGGCCUAACGAUCCCUAAAUAGCCUCAGGUGCGUGAGGAUUGGGGUGACAGACAAGUUACCUCCGGGACAACUGGCUUGUGGCUGCUAAGAGAUCAAAUCAACGCAGCUUUUUGAUUCUUCGAUGUCGGCUCUUCCUAUCCUAGUGAUGUACAAGUUGCUAAGGGUCGGAUUGUUCACCCGUAUUAGGGAUCGUGAGCUGGGUUUAGACCGUCGUGAGCCAGGUUUGUUUUAUCCUACUGGAUAUAGCAUCAUGAUAGUAGAUUGAUUUAGUACGAGAGGAACUGUUGAUUAUGGCCUCUGGUUAGCGAUUAUCGGAA
rnacentral:ncRNA from 1 species